ACGAGUGGCGGACGGGUGAGUAACACGUGGGUAACCUGCCCUUAAGUGGGGGAUAACAUUUGGAAACAGAUGCUAAUACCGCAUAAAUCCAAGAACCGCAUGGUUCUUGGCUGAAAGAUGGCGUAAGCUAUCGCUUUUGGAUGGACCCGCGGCGUAUUAGCUAGUUGGUGAGGUAACGGCUCACCAAGGCAAUGAUACGUAGCCGAACUGAGAGGUUGAUCGGCCACAUUGGGACUGAGACACGGCCCAAACUCCUACGGGAGGCAGCAGUAGGGAAUCUUCCACAAUGGACGCAAGUCUGAUGGAGCAACGCCGCGUGAGUGAAGAAGGCUUUCGGGUCGUAAAACUCUGUUGUUGGAGAAGAAUGGUCGGCAGAGUAACUGUUGUCGGCGUGACGGUAUCCAACCAGAAAGCCACGGCUAACUACGUGCCAGCAGCCGCGGUAAUACGUAGGUGGCAAGCGUUAUCCGGAUUUAUUGGGCGUAAAGCGAGCGCAGGCGGUUUUUUAAGUCUGAUGUGAAAGCCCUCGGCUUAACCGAGGAAGUGCAUCGGAGACUGGGAAACUUGAGUGCAGAAGAGGACAGUGGAACUCCAUGUGUAGCGGUGAAAUGCGUAGAUAUAUGGAAGAACACCAGUGGCGAAGGCGGCUGUCUGGUCUGUAACUGACUCUGAGGCUCGAAAGCAUGGGUAGCGAACAGGAUUAGAUACCCUGGUAGUCCAUGCCGUAAACGAUGAAUGCUAGGUGUUGGAGGGUUUCCGCCCUUCAGUGCCGCAGCUAACGCAUUAAGCAUUCCGCCUGGGGAGUACGACCGCAAGGUUGAAACUCAAAGGAAUUGACGGGGGCCCGCACAAGAGGUGGAGCAUGUGGUUUAAUUCGAAGCAACGCGAAGAACCUUACCAGGUCUUGACAUCUUUUGAUCACCUGAGAGAUCAGGUUUCCCCUUCGGGGGCAAAAUGACAGGUGGUGCAUGGUUGUCGUCAGCUCGUGUCGUGAGAUGUUGGGUUAAGUCCCGCAACGAGCGCAACCCUUAUGACUAGUUGCCAGCAUUUAGUGGGGCACUCUAGUAAGACUGCCGGUGACAAACCGGAGGAAGGUGGGGAUGACGUCAAAUCAUCAUGCCCCUUAUGACCUGGGCUACACACGUGCUACAAUGGAUGGUACAACGAGUUGCGAGACCGCGAGGUCAAGCUAAUCUCUUAAAGCCAUUCUCAGUUCGGACUGUAGGCUGCAACUCGCCUACACGAAGUCGGAAUCGCUAGUAAUCGCGGAUCAGCACGCCGCGGUGAAUACGUUCCCGGGCCUUGUACACACCGCCCGUCACACCAUGAGAGUUUGUAACACCCGAAGCCGGUGGCGUAACCCUUUUAGGGAGCGAGCCGU
rnacentral:rRNA from 1 species